rnacentral:misc_RNA from 1 species
UAAGGUGCUUAAUAAAUUUUAUUUGACUGUUCUAAUUAUCUUUGAUGGAUAUCGUCGCGUUCGGACUUGUUCGAAUGCGUCGGCCGUCGGAAUACGCGACAUACGCACGGACAUUUUUUCAUGGAAAAACAAUUAUGUUACAUUUAAUUACUCGUGCAUCGCUUUCGUGUUUUAUUUUGACCGGUGAUAUUUCAUUGGGUUUCAUUUGAUCGCAUAAAUUUAAGCCAGGUCGCGUGCAGGAAAAACAAAUUACCAGCGUAAUUUUCAGCUAACUUUCGUCUUUUUGC